GAAAUGCGAUAAGUAAUGUGAAUUGCAGAAUUCAGUGAAUCAUCGAAUCUUUGAACGCACAUUGCGCCCCUUGGUAUUCCGAGGGGCAUGCCUGUUCGAGCGUCAUUAUAACCCCUCAAGCUCAGCUUGGUGUUGGGGCCUGCCGCACCCGGCAGCCCUUAAAAUCAGUGGCGGUGCCAUCUGGCUCUAAGCGUAGUAAUUCUUCUCGCUAUGGAGUCCCGGUGGAUGCUGGCCAUUAACCCCCAAUUUUCUAUGGUUGACCUCGGAUCAGGUAGGGAUACCCGCUGAGUUUAA
rnacentral:misc_RNA from 1 species